rnacentral:ncRNA from 1 species
ACUCAAGCUACAAAGGGCGCACGGUGGAUGCCCUGGUGCCAAGGGCCGAUGAAGGACGCUGUCGGCGGCGAAAGGGUCGGGGAGGUGCCUAACAACCUUCGAUCCGGCCAUGUCCGAAUGGGGAAACCCACCGCGGGUCAUGCCGCGGGACCCACCGCUGAAUCCAUAGGCGGUGCGGAGGCCAGUCCGGGAACUGAAACAUCUCAGUACCGGGAGGAAGAGAAAUCAAAUUGAGAUUCCCCUAGUAGUGGCGAGCGAACGGGGAACAGCCCAAACCGCGCGGGCGUGAUAGCCCGCAGGCGUUGUCCGCGCGGGGUUGUGGGGCGUCGUUGGACUGGGCUGCGGCCCGGUCGGGAAGUGAGCAAUC